CCUACGGGUGGCAGCAGUGGGGAAUAUUGGACAAUGGGGGCAACCCUGAUCCAGCCAUGCCGCGUGUGUGAAGAAGGCCCUCGGGUUGUAAAGCACUUUCAGUGAGGAAGAACGCCUGGUGGUUAAUACCCAUCAGGAAAGACAUCACUCACAGAAGAAGCACCGGCUAACUCCGUGCCAGCAGCCGCGGCAAUACGGAGGGUGCGAGCGUUAAUCGGAAUUACUGGGCGUAAAGCGCGCGUAGGUGGCUUGAUAAGCCGGUUGUGAAAGCCCCGGGCUCAACCUGGGAACGGCAUCCGGAACUGUCAAGCUAGAGUGCAGGAGAGGAAGGUAGAAUUCCCGGUGUAGCGGUGAAAUGCGUAGAGAUCGGGAGGAAUACCAGUGGCGAAGGCGGCCUUCUGGACUGACACUGACACUGAGGUGCGAAAGCGUGGGUAGCAAACAGGAUUAGAUACCCUUGUAGUC
rnacentral:rRNA from 1 species